GAUCCUGGCUCAGGAUGAACGCUAGCUACAGGCUUAACACAUGCAAGUCGAGGGGCAGCAUGAACAAAGCUUGCUUGUUUGAUGGCGACCGGCGCACGGGUGCGUAACACGUAUCCAAUCUGCCCGCGGCUCGGGGAUAGCCCAUCGAAAGAUGGAUUAAUACCCGAUGGUGUGGUUUCUCCGCAUGGGGGUUUCCACUAAAGGUUUUCCGGCCGCGGAUGAGGAUGCGUAUGAUUAGGUAGUUGGGGGUGUAACGGACCACCAAGCCGACGAUGUCUAGGGGUUCUGAGAGGAAGGUCCCCCACACUGGUACUGAGACACGGACCAGACUCCUACGGGAGGCAGCAGUGAGGAAUAUUGGUCAAUGGGCGAGAGCCUGAACCAGCCAAGUAGCGUGAAGGAUGACUGCCCUACGGGUUGUAAACUUCUUUUGUUUGGGAAUAAAAGACGCUACGUGUAGCGUUGUGCAUGUACCUUACGAAUAAGCAUCGGCUAAUUCCGUG
rnacentral:rRNA from 1 species